rnacentral:sRNA from 1 species
GUAGAAGAGGGGAGAGUGGCGGGCCGCUGAAUAAGCUUCCAAAAUGAUGAAAACGUGUAUUUCCUGUCAUCAUCUUCCAGGUGGGUGAUGGCACCACCUCAGUGACCUUGCUGGCUGCAGAGUUUCUGAAGCAGGUGAAACCCUAUGUGGAGGAAGGUUUACACCCCCAGAUCAUCAUUCGAGCUUUCCGCACAGCCACCCAGCUGGCAGUUAACAAGAUCAAAGAGAUUGCUGUGACCGUGAAGAAGGCAGAUAAAGUGGAGCAGAGGAAGCUGCUGGAAAAGUGUGCCAUGACCGCUCUGAGCUCCAAGCUGAUCUCCCAGCAGAAAGCUUUCUUUGCUAAGAUGGUGGUGGAUGCUGUGAUGAUGCUCGAUGAUUUGCUGCAGCUUAAAAUGAUUGGAAUCAAGAAGGUACAGGGUGGAGCCCUCGAGGAUUCUCAGCUGGUAGCUGGUGUUGCAUUCAAGAAGACUUUCUCUUAUGCUGGGUUUGAAAUGCAACCCAAAAAGUACCACAAUCCCAAGAUUGCCCUUUUGAAUGUCGAGCUCGAGUUGAAAGCUGAGAAAGACAAUGCUGAGAUAAGAGUCCACACAGUUGAGGAUUAUCAGGCAAUUGUUGAUGCUGAGUGGAACAUUCUCUAUGACAAGUUAGAGAAGAUCCAUCAUUCUGGAGCCAAAGUUGUCUUGUCCAAACUCCCCAUUGGGGAUGUGGCCACCCAGUACUUUGCUGACAGGGACAUGUUCUGUGCUGGCCGAGUACCUGAGGAGGAUCUGAAGAGGACAAUGAUGGCCUGUGGAGGCUCAAUCCAGACCAG